rnacentral:rRNA from 1 species
GACGAAGGAUGCAAGCGUUAUCCGGAUUCAUUGGGUUUAAAGGGAGCGUAGGUGGCCUUAUAAGUCAGCGGUGAAAUCUCUGGGCUUAACCCAGAAAUUGCCAUUGAUACUGUAGGGCUUGAGUACAGUUGCUGUGGGCGGAAUAUGACAUGUAGUGGUGAAAUACAUAGAGAUGUCAUAGAACACCGAUUGCGAAGGCAGCUCACAAAACUGUAACUGACACCUGAGGCUCGAAAGUGCGGGGAUCAAACAGG